rnacentral:rRNA from 1 species
UACGUAGGGUGCAAGCGUCGUCCGGAAUUAUUGGGCGUAAAGAGCUCGUAGGCGGUUUGUCGCGUCUGCUGUGAAAACCCGAGGCUCAACCUCGGGCCUGCAGUGGGUACGGGCAGACUAGAGUGCGGUAGGGGAGAUUGGAAUUCCUGGUGUAGCGGUGGAAUGCGCAGAUAUCAGGAGGAACACCAAUGGCGAAGGCAGAUCUCUGGGCCGUAACUGACGCUGAGGAGCGAAAGCAUGGGGAGCGAACAGG